UACGUAGGGGGGCAAGCGUUGUCCGGAAUCAUUGGGCGGUAAAGAGCGUGUAGGCGGCUUGGUAAGUCCGUUGUGAAAGUCCAGGGCUCAACCCUGGAAAGCCGGUGGAAACUGUCAAGCUUGAGUCCGGAAGAGGCGAGUGGAAUUCCUGGUGUAGCGGUGAAAUGCGCAGAUAUCAGGAGGAACACCAAUGGCGAAGGCAGCUCGCUGGGGACGGUACUGACGCUGAGACGCGAAAGCGUGGGGAGCAAACAGG
rnacentral:rRNA from 1 species